rnacentral:lncRNA from 1 species
CGCCACGCCGGAAGCGGCGGCGCGUUGCCCUAACCCAUCGGUGAAGCACUUCUUGAUUGCCGCGUAGUGGGAGGUAUCCCCCUGGAUCGGCGCGAAUCCGUUCCUAGUGAAAUCCUCGAACUCUCCGCCGCCUCUGCUUCUUCCGCCGCGAUUGGAAUCUUUGGCGGGAGACUCGUCGGAAUCCGAAUCCGCCUUCAAAAUUUCGUGAUCGUCAAUUGAAAU